AAGAAGCCCACGUUAGAACUGCUAACUCCAACACCUGAGCCUGAUACCUCAGACUUCUU
rnacentral:tRNA from 1 species